rnacentral:rRNA from 1 species
AAAUUGAAGAGUUUGAUCAUGGCUCAGAUUGAACGCUGGCGGCAGGCCUAACACAUGCAAGUCGAGCGGAAACGACAACAUUGAAUCUUCGGAGGAUUUGUUGGGCGUCGAGCGGCGGACGGGUGAGUAAUGCCUAGGAAAUUGCCUUGAUGUGGGGGAUAACCAUUGGAAACGAUGGCUAAUACCGCAUAAUGCCUACGGGCCAAAGAGGGGGAUCUUCGGACCUCUCGCGUCAAGAUAUGCCUAGGUGGGAUUAGCUAGUUGGUGAGGUAAUGGCUCACCAAGGCGACGAUCCCUAGCUGGUCUGAGAGGAUGAUCAGCCACACUGGAACUGAGACACGGUCCAGACUCCUACGGGAGGCAGCAGUGGGGAAUAUUGCACAAUGGGCGAAAGCCUGAUGCAGCCAUGCCGCGUGUAUGAAGAAGGCCUUCGGGUUGUAAAGUACUUUCAGUUGUGAGGAAGGGUGUGUAGUUAAUAGCUGCGCAUCUUGACGUUAGCAACAGAAGAAGC